AUUGCUUCUCAGCCUUUUGGCUAAGAUCAAGUGCAUUAUUUUGUUACAUUAGCUUUGUAUAUGCUCUGCUCUAAAAAAAAUUAGAAAAAUAAAAUCUUAAGAUCAUUUUUACCUGUCCAAGUUCUUCAUUCAGAUCGGAAGUAUUGACUUGAGCUUUCUGAUCUGAUUCCUCA
ensembl:snRNA U2 U2 spliceosomal RNA